rnacentral:rRNA from 1 species
UAAACGAUGUCGACUUGGAGGUUGUGCCCGUGAGGCGUGGCUUCGGGAGCUAACGCGUUAAGUCGACCGCCUGGGGAGUACGGCCGCAAGGUUAAAACUCAAAUGAAUUGACGGGGGCCCGCACAGCGGUGGAGCAUGUGGUUUAAUUCGAUGCAACGCGAAGAACCUUACCUACUCUUGACAUCCAGAGAACUUUCCAGAGAUGGAUUGGUGCCUUCGGGAACUCUGAGACAGGUGCUGCAUGGCUGUCGUCAGCUCGUGUUGUGAAAUGUUGGGUUAAGUCCCGCAACGAGCGCAACCCUUAUCCUUUGUUGCCAGCGGUUAGGCCGGGAACUCAAAGGAGACUGCCAGUGAUAAACUGGAGGAAGGUGGGGAUGACGUCAAGUCAUCAUGGCCCUUACGAGUAGGGCUACACACGUGCUACAAUGGCGCAUACAAAGAGAAGCGACCUCGCGAGAGCAAGCGGACCUCAUAAAGUGCGUCGUAGUCCGGAUUGGAGUCUGCAACUCGACUCCAUGAAGUCGGAAUCGCUAGUAAUCGUAGAUCAGAAUGCUACGGUGAAUACGUUCCCGGGCCUUGUACACACCGCCCGUCACACCAUGGGAGUGGGUUGCAAAAGAAGUAGGUAGCUUAACCUUCGGGAGGGCGCUUACCACUUUGUGAUUCAUGACUGGGGUGAAGUCGUAACAAGGUAACCAAGGGCGAAUUCUG